rnacentral:rRNA from 1 species
CUGGAGGUAUCAGAAGUGCGAAUGCUGACAUAAGUAACGAUAAAGCGGGUGAAAAGCCCGCUCGCCGGAAGACCAAGGGUUCCUGUCCAACGUUAAUCGGGGCAGGGUGAGUCGACCCCUAAGGCGAGGCCGAAAGGCGUAGUCGAUGGGAAACGGGUUAAUAUUCCCGUACUUGGUGUUACUGCGAAGGGGGGACGGAGAAGGCUAUGUUGGCCGGGCGACGGUUGUCCCGGUUUAAGCGUGUAGGUGUGUGUUCCAGGUAAAUCCGGUUCACUUUAACACUGAGGCGUGAUGACGAGGCACUACGGUGCUGAAGCAACAAAUGCCCUGCUUCCAGGAAAAGCCUCUAAGCAUCAGGUAACAUCAAAUCGUACCCCAAACCGACACAGGUGGUCAGGUAGAGAAUACCAAGGCGCUUGAGAGAACUCGGGUGAAGGAACUAGGCAAAAUGGUGCCGUAACUUCGGGAGAAGGCACGCUGACAUGUAGGUGAAGUGAUUUACUCAUGGAGCUGAAGUCAGUCGAAGAUACCAGCUGGCUGCAACUGUUUAUUAAAAACACAGCACUGUGCAAACACGAAAGUGGACGUAUACGGUGUGACGCCUGCCCGGUGCCGGAAGGUUAAUUGAUGGGGUCAGCGCAAGCGAAGCUCCUGAUCGAAGCCCCGGUAAACGGCGGCCGUAACUAUAACGGUCCUAAGGUAGCGAAAUUCCUUGUCGGGUAAGUUCCGACCUGCACGAAUGGCGUAAUGAUGGCCAGGCUGUCUCCACCCGAGACUCAGUGAAAUUGAACUCGCUGUGAAGAUGCAGUGUACCCGCGGCAAGACGGAAAGACCCCGUGAACCUUUACUAUAGCUUGACACUGAACAUUGAGCCUUGAUGUGUAGGAUAGGUGGGAGGCUUUGAAGUGUGGACGCCAGUCUGCAUGGAGCCGACCUUGAAAUACCACCCUUUAAUGUUUGAUGUUCUAACGUGGACCCGUGAUCCGGGUUGCGGACAGUGUCUGGUGGGUAGUUUGACUGGGGCGGUCUCCUCCUAAAGAGUAACGGAGGAGCACGAAGGUUGGCUAAUCCUGGUCGGACAUCAGGAGGUUAGUGCAAUGGCAUAAGCCAGCUUGACUGCGAGCGUGACGGCGCGAGCAGGUGCGAAAGCAGGUCAUAGUGAUCCGGUGGUUCUGAAUGGAAGGGCCAUCGCUCAACGGAUAAAAGGUACUCCGGGGAUAACAGGCUGAUACCGCCCAAGAGUUCAUAUCGACGGCGGUGUUUGGCACCUCGAUGUCGGCUCAUCACAUCCUGGGGCUGAAGUAGGUCCCAAGGGUAUGGCUGUUCGCCAUUUAAAGUGGUACGCGAGCUGGGUUUAGAACGUCGUGAGACAGUUCGGUCCCUAUCUGCCGUGGGCGCUGGAGAACUGAGGGGGGCUGCUCCUAGUACGAGAGGACCGGAGUGGACGCAUCACUGGUGUUCGGGUUGUCAUGCCAAUGGCACUGCCCGGUAGCUAAAUGCGGAAGAGAUAAGUGCUGAAAGCAUCUAAGCACGAAACUUGCCCCGAGAUGAGUUCUCCCUGAGACUUAG